UAUGUGAAAAAUACUGUGUUUUUUUACACGCGAAACAUGAACACAUGUUAUAUUGCACACUAUAAACACAAUCAAAGCUUCAAAAAACCACGAAAAACGGGACCUUUAAAGCUGCAGCCACUCUGGAGGACUCUUCCGUCAGCGUACAGGAUUAUGCUGAGUAUGUGACUGGGUACAUCAGCACUUGUGUCGACAACAUCGUGCCCACCAUACAAAUCAGGAAGUUUCCCAACCGGAAGCCCUGGAUAAACAGUCAGGUACGUCACAUGCUACAUGUUCGCUCUGUUGCAUUCAGAUCAGGCAAGUACAAAGCUGCGAAGUAUGGACUGAGAAAAGCCAUUACAGCGGCCAAGAGGCAGUAUAGAGAGAAGCUGGACAGCUUCUAUUCUACUGCUGACUCGGGGCGGAUGUGGCAAGGCCUGCAGCACAUCACAGACUACAGGACCUCUAUCAACAACAUCACUUCAACAGACAGCCUGUCGGACGACCUUAACACAUUCUACACCCGCUUUGAUGCCUCCAGCUACGUUGCAGACAGGAGGCUCACACACACCUGGACCACCCAACCCCCCUCCCCCCACCAACCGUCUUAAUAGGCCAGGUACACAAAGCCCUGAGGAAGAUCAACCCCCACAAAGCAGCAGGACCAGACAACAUUCCUGGGUGGGCCCUCAGAGCAUGUGUCAACAAGCUGGCUGAUGUUCUUACCUCCAUCUUCAACCUCUCUCUCAGCCAGUGCACCAUUCCUUCUUGCUUCAAGACCACGACCAUUGUCCCCCUGCCUAAGAAGAGCCCACCUACCUGUCUGAAUGACUACACUAUAGUGGACAUGAGAAAGGAGAGGAGAACGCAUCAGCCACUAUUCAUCUGGGAGCUUGAAGUGGAGAGGGAGGCUGAGGAAGUUUGGCAUGUCACCCAAGAUCCUCAGCAACUUCUACAGCUGCGUCAUUGAGAGUGUCCUGACCAACUGCAUCACUGCGUGGUACGGCAACACUACUGUCAUGGACCACAAACGCCCGCAGAGAGUGGUAAAGACUGUGCAGAAGAUCAUCAGGACUCCACUGCUCUCUCUGCAGAGCAUCUACCACCGUAGAGUACACAGGAGAGCUGCUUCCAUCCUCAAAGACCCCUCCCACCCCCAGCACGGACUGUUCACACUCCUACCCUCAGGGCGGAGGUACAGGAGUGUGAAAUGCAGGACUUCAAGACUGAAGAACUCUCUUUUUUUUUUUUUUUCCCUCCUGUAGUGGACUUAAGUUCGUAGUGGGGGAAGGAAGAGGUCAGGGAUGGCGAACAACUGCUGACUGAGUCUUUAUUGAAUAUAGAAACGGUUCAACAGAAAGUCUGUGCAACGCACAACAACGAAAAUAAACAAUCCACAAAGGGCUUCACUCCAGGUUCGGCAUACGUUCGGCAUACGCCCCCCUCGCCACACCUCCCCUCUGCUAUCAGACUCCUAAACAGCUGAUAGGAGUUUGCAAUCAUGGACAUUACUGUUUACAUGGACAUAAUUGUUUAUAUUGAUUUAUACUUUUGUUUUUUGCACAUUUAUUAUUUUUAGAACUGCACUACCUCACUUUUUAUGCUUUUAUGCAGAAUUGCACUUACUUUUGAUUGCUCAUCUUUUUAUUAUUAUUAUUUUUUAAAUUUACUUUAUUUUACUAUACGGCAUUUAUUGUGGACGGCAAAGUAAGAAUUUCACUGUGCAGGGAAACAUGCUUUCUGUCUGUGCAUAUGACAAUAAACACUUUGAAUCUUUGAA